rnacentral:lncRNA from 1 species
UUCAACAACAUUUUCCUCAUCAAGCAAUACUUCACUAAAUGAACUAACAGUCUUCUUUGAAGACUUGGUCUUCUUUUUCUUGUCCGUGAAAAUAAUAGGUUCAUCUUCUUCAUCCUUGUCUUUCUUCUCAUCAUCAUCCUCAUCCUCAUUUUCAAGCAGAUCCAAUGCAGAACUCCUCAUCCUGCCACCCUUAUUCGACUUCUUUUUCUUGUCCGUGAAAGUAAUAGGUUCAUCAUCUUCAUCUUUGUCUUCCUUCACAUCAUCAUUUUCAUUGACAAGCAGAUCGAAAGCAGAACUGUUCUUGCCACUCUUCUUUGAUUUCUUUUUCUUGUCUGUGAAAAUAACAGGUUCAUCUUCUUCAUCUUUGUCUUCCCUCACAUCCUCAUCUUCAUCAUCAAGAAGAUCAAAAGCAGAGGCCGAAAAUCCAGUAGUACCGCUCUUCUUCUUGCCACCUUUCUUUGACUUCUCCACCACAUCAUCAUCAUCAUCAUCACUCUCCUCCACAGAAUGAUCAUCAUCAAUCACCUCACUUUCACUACCACCAUCAACUGCAUCAAAAGCCGCUGCCGUAAACAGACUACCACUCUUAUUCCCACCUUUCUUCAAACCCUCCUUCGUUUUACCCUUACUCGCCAGAGAAAC